CCUACGGGUGGCAGCAGUAGGGAAUAUUGCUCAAUGGGGGAAACCCUGAAGCAGCAACGCCGCGUGGAGGAUGAAGGUUUUCGGAUUUUAAACUCCUUUUGUUAGAGAAGAUAAUGACGGUAACUAACGAAUAAGCACCGGCGAACUCCUUGCCAGCAGCCGCGGUAAUACGGAGGGUGCAAGCGUUACUCGGAAUCACCGGGCGUAAAGAGCGCGUAGGCGGGAUAGCAAGUCAGAUGUGAAAUCCUAUGGCUUAACCAGAGAACUGCAUUUGAAACUGUUAUUCUAGAGUAUGGGAGAGGUAGGUGGAAUUCUUGGUGUAGGGGUGAAAUGCGUAGAGAUCAAGAGGAAUACUCGUGGCGAAGGCGACCUGCUAGAACAUAACUGACGCUGAGGCGCGAAAGCGUGGGGAGCAAACAGGAUUAGAUACCCCUGUAGUC
rnacentral:rRNA from 1 species